rnacentral:rRNA from 1 species
CGGCGAGUGAAGCGGCAACAGCUCAAAUUUGAAAUCUGGCCGCAAGGUCCGAGUUGUAAUUUGCAGAGGAUGCUUUUGGCGAGGUGCCUUCCGAGUUCCCUGGAACGGGACGCCAUAGAGGGUGAGAGCCCCGUACGGUAGGACCACCGAGCCUUUGUAAAGCUCCUUCGACGAGUCGAGUAGUUUGGGAAUGCUGCUCUAAAUGGGAGGUGUACGUCUUCUAAAGCUAAAUACCGGCCAGAGACCGAUAGCGCACAAGUAGAGUGAUCGAAAGAUGAAAAGCACUUUGAAAAGAGGGUUAAAAAGUACGUGAAAUUGUUGAAAGGGAAGCAUUCAUGACCAGACUUGGGCUUGGUUGAACAUCCGGCGUUCUCGCCGGUGCACUCUGCCAGUCCAGGCCAGCAUCAGUUUGCCCCGGGGGACAAAGGCGGUGGGAAUGUGGCUCUCUCCGGGGAGUGUUAUAGCCCGCCGUGUAAUGCCCUGGGGCGGACUGAGGAACGCGCUUCGGCUCGGAUGCUGGCGUAAUGGUCAUCAAUGACCCGUCUUGAAACACGGACCAAGGAGUCGUCUUCGUAUGCGAGUGUUCGGGUGUCAAACCCCUACGCGAAAUGAAAGUGAACGUAGGUGAGAGCU